CCUACGGGAGGCAGCAGUGGGGAAUCUUGCGCAAUGGGGGAAACCCUGACGCAGCGACGCCGCGUGCGGGAUGGAGGCCUUCGGGCCGUGAACCGCUUUCAGCAGGGAAGACAUUAAGGACGGUACCUGCAGAAGAAGCCCCGGCUAACUACGUGCCAGCAGCCGCGGUAAUACGUAGGGGGCGAGCGUUAUCCGGAUUCAUUGGGCGUAAAGCGCGCGCAGGCGGCGCACCAGGCGGGAUCUCGAAACCGGGGGCUCAACCUCCGGGCGGAUCCCGAACCGGUGUGCUCGAGUGCGGUAGAGGAAGUCGGAAUUCCCGGUGUAGCGGUGAAAUGCGCAGAUAUCGGGAAGAACACCGAUGGCGAAGGCAGACUUCUGGGCCGACACUGACGCUCAGGCGCGAAAGCUGGGGGAGCGAACAGGAUUAGAUACCCUGGUAGUC
rnacentral:rRNA from 2 species